rnacentral:lncRNA from 1 species
AUGCGCCUGUCAGUCCGGGCGCUGCGCCGCACUCGGCCCGAGCUGUUUGUAAAUUACAUUAGCGGCGCCUUUAUUGCACCCGAACCUCGGGCGACUCAAAAGCCGCCGCCCCCACCCCAAACUGCGAGCCUCGCUCCCGGCGCACCCGCCUCCCGCCGGCCUGGCUGCGAUGGUAGCGCCGGCCCGGAGGUCUCAGGCUCUCCGACCCGGGAUUUGGCGCCCGAGAAGGGCGGCGCGAGCCCAGCCGGAGAGGGACGCGGCCGCUGCGCGGGCCAGCUUCUCGCUGACUGUUCCCGAGAAGAGGCCGCUCAGGCCCAGGGCUGCCUGAACCAAGGAGAAGAGGCGAGGUGGUGCGGGACGGCUGAGGCUGGCCACAGUGGCAAGGAGCUGCCUGAACAACCACAGAACCCUGGAAACCCGCUUUCCAAGGAGAAUGGCGGUUUCCAAAUUUCUCCCAUCAACGUACAUAAUUCAGAAAUGAUGAAAAAGAUUAAGAAGAUAAUUCUGGAGUCAAGCUGACACUCCAAAGGCAGACCCAGACCUUUUGCAGACCCCAAGCCCACUGUCUACUUCCCAGGUCUGUUUUGGUGAUCCUGGGUGGGCCCCCUUUAUGGCGGCCCAUGGGGGAGGGGCGGAGGCUCAGCAGCUGGGAGUCAGCUGUGGCUGAAGGCAGUCCCGUGUCCAAUGGGAGGCAGGGGCUCAUUUCCGAGCUGGACGGGGGCCAGGUUUUAAGGACCCAGGCUGCCAAGCAGCUACCUGAGUCACCAAUGUCAACAGCUCCUCCUCAACCCCAGUCCCUCAAAAAGAGGGUAGAGGCCUCAGAGUCAGCCUCUAUCCGAGGGUCUCCAGUCCCUACCCCAGUAACUGCUUCUGGCUUUCAGAUACAGGACAGGGGGUGAAAGCAGCCUCAUCCCUAGUUCUGAGAUUCAGUGAGAACCUGGAUUUAUGGAGAUACGCUCAGGCUUAUAUUCAUCCCCUUCCCUCCUUCUAUCCAUUCCUGCUCCGGAACUCCCAAGGCCGGGGACUCUGUCAGGACAAGAGUGUGGCUGGUUAGAGCUGGGAGGGGGCCCCACAGGGUCAAGGAGUUUUGGACCAAGGAGUCUCAGUUAAUCCCAGACUGAGGAUUAGUAAAAAUAUAGCUAAGAAAUUCUAGCCCACCUUCAAGUAUUCAAUUGUGUUAAAGAAACACACACACACACACACACACACACACACACACACACACGGCUUUUUAGAACAUUUAUUCAUGAGCACGUGUCAAAAUUUUAUUUCAAACUCACUAGAAGUGAAGAGACAGAAAAGAGACCAGUUAAAAGAUUACCUCUUGGUAGAUGCAUUUGGAGGAAAGAAUGGGGUUAGAAGUAUUGUUGAAAUGGACAUACAAAGAUAGAGUCUGGAUAAAACGAAUCACGCCCUCACUGACAGUUGGCGAGGUAGAUGGGAAACCGGUUUCUGAGAAGAAAAGGCUCUGUCCCCGGCAUGUUUGGGAUCCUUUUGUCUGACAGUUGGAAACACUGGCUUGGCUCCUGCUUUGGGGCUGGAGGCUCAAGCAUGAAGCAAUUGAUACGGAAAUUCUGGGUGCCUG